ensembl:lncRNA
CUGACUAUGAAGCAAGAGGACAUGUCUGCAGACAAAAUUUGCAGGAUUUUUCAGGUCAGUUGCAGCAGUCUUUAUAUCACGGACGACUCCAACACGGCAAUAUUUCCAGAGCCAGCAGGCCAUUUUUCAAUAAUUAAUCUAACUAAUCGCAGUCAUUAUGAGGUCCACGGCGAUGCAGAGCACCUUCCACCCGCUGCUGGUGCUCCUGCUUUUGGGUUCAUGCGCCGACCCUCACCGGCUUCUGCUUCUGCCACAUCUUUUCUGCGUCUGGUUUUUCCACUGAAACACCACCACCACCACCACGAGCUGGAACUCCACGAGCUAGUGGAGCUAGCUUGUUCCAGGGAAGAUCAUUCCAAAGGUCAAUUUAUCUGGCAGAAAUUGUUAAUGAGAAACUCAGUCCUUCCAGGACAGUAGUUGUGCGCUUUUUGGAAGCUUAGGCCUGCGUUGAACGAAUUUCGGCCAAAGUUCAAGAUGCCGCGGGCUCUGAUGAGCCUAUUACCUUGACGGACACCCAAGGAAACGAAAUAAUGGACUCUGAGGGCACAAGAAGUUCCCAGUUCUGGAAACAGAACUCAAGAAAAAUAUAUGCUGUGCCUGAAAGUGACUUUGUGGAGUUUCAGAAUGGGAGAAGAGCUAAAACAAGUCGAAGGGAUGGAGAUUCAAGCCUGCAGGAGGUCCUUGGACGUGUUGACCAGCUGAAGCAAGCCGCCGGGAGUCUCCAAGAGGUCACUAAUUCAAUCAACCAGCUGUCUCAGCUGGCCAAGUCUCAAAAGGAGGAGAUCAUGGCAAAUGUCGGUUUGCAGCCCUUAAAGGAAGCCUUUGCAUGUCUUGUGUGUAAAGCUGUAAUGGCAGAUCCCAUGUUCGCCACAUGCUGUAAAUCGAUAAUUGGAUGUCGUACCUGUGUGGAGCUGUGGUUAGUCACAUCAGACCACUGCUUGAAAUGCAGGGCAGGAGACUUUGAAAAUAAAAUACAUGAAGUGAAGGGUCUCUCUGCUGCCUUGUCACUUUUCAAGGAGAGAAUAAUUGGAUAGAUAAUUGUUUGUUAUUGUUUGUUAUGUUUACAUUACUGGAACUACCUCAGUUUGUUUGUUGGAUGUUAUUAUGGGUACAUGACCAGAAAGAUGUUGUUUGUUGUAAUGUUUAUAUUGUGUGUGACCGUUUAAAAAAAAAAAGACAACUUCCACUUUAUCAUUGUUG